AAUCAUCUAUCGAACCUGCUCUAUGAUAUAUAUAUAUAUUAAAUGGCUGCAGUAAUCUGACUGUGCUAAGGUAGCAUAAUCAUUAGUUUUUUAAUUGAAGACUGGAAUGAAGGGUAUUGACUUUGAAGAUAGUUUUGUAAAAAUGAAUUGAAUUUAAACUAAAAAUAAAAAUGUUUUUAUUAUAUUUCGGGACGAGAAGACCCUAGAAGCUUAAAAUUAUGAAAUUUUUGGUUGGGGUGAUCUUUUGAAGAUAAAAAUCUUUGAUGUAUAAAAUUAAAUUUUAAUAAAGUUACUCUAGGGAUAACAGCGUAAUUUAAUUGGAGAGUUCUUAUUAAUAAUUGAGUUUGCGACCUCGAUGUUGAAUUAAAUGUAGGUUAGAUGAAGGAGUUUGAUUGUGAAGUC
rnacentral:rRNA from 1 species